CCUUCAGAGCUGCUGUUCCCUCUGGUGUGGUGAUGUCCACUGACCCAGAUAGCAACUGUUCCAUCUGCCUGGAGCAAGGGCAUCAGGGACUGUGGUCCUCAGCCAAUCUGUAACAGCUUGAACUCCAGUCCCUGACCUCCUGAUGACUUGAACACAGUUCCCACACUGAGGCACCAGAAGCCACUAGAUGGAGUCUGCCCACAGCGGUUCUGAGUUCUGAGCUCAGUUGGCCCCUCUCCAAGAUGGCUACCAGCCAGUCAUCCUCUCCUGUGUGAGGGCUGAAUCCAGAUAACUCACCCGCCACUGCAGUCCGAUGUGUCCACUGCUCCAUUCCGCUGGUAUGAGACAGCAGAGGUGUUGACCAACCUACCAACUGCCUGGAUCAUGGAGAAGGCCUAUGCCCAGGGAGAGAAGAGCUUGCAACCCUCUGAGAUUACCUUUUCUCCUUGGAUGUUGUCUUCUUCCAAGAAAAGUUACAGGGCAACUGAGAAUUUGUGCCUUCUAAAGCCUUUGAGAGUCAAAAAAUAAGUUCGCCUGAAUCUAAUAACCCAGUGCCCUAACAACCCAAUCCCAGAAGAAACUAUGAAGAGGUUAUCAGGAGAGACACAGCAAGCCUUCCAGCGGGAGCUCCAAGACACCAUUUGUUCCCUAGAGGAAGCCAGAGUUGUAUUCCUUCUCACUGGAUCUGGUGCCUUAGGACAUACAGCACUUUCCCACAGUCAGGGCCCACCUAACAUCGUGGGAUGUCCCACAACAUCAGUAACUGAACCAAAUACUGCAAUCACAUAAGCUGCACUGACUAAGGAUGGUGGACACAAGUCUCAGAAAAAGGGGUAGCACAUUAUCACUAGGCAGUCCAGGUAUGGUAAUCAAGAAAUACAGCCUGUUCGAAGGCUGGACAGCAAAGAGAAGUGUCAGUCAAAGCAUUUAAAGGGAGGCUUCUCAAGCCCAGCUUGAACACGCAGUGUUAUGUCCUCAUGCGUGACAUAGGCCUGUUCCGUUUCAGGACUGCUGUCUGUCCUCCUCACCAUGCACAGGGGACAGCUCUGACUCUGUGAGCCUUGGGCUCCUUUUCUUUUUUAUAGUUUUGAAACAAAAUUGAG
ensembl:lncRNA